ensembl:lncRNA
AUGAUGUGCAGUGUAAAAUAAGGUAAACAGACUGAAUUCUACAUUUAAUCCACCUCCUACAGUUUCUACCCUCAGUGCGGAAGUGAAAGCUGAAGAGCUGCUGAAACUGAGCGGUAACGUUUCUGCUCUGAGCUCCGCCCAGAUCGACCAGCUUGUGACUCAGCUAGAGGAACUUCUUUUAGGGCCCACUGUCAGCCUGGCUCUGGGGAGCAUGUCUAUCAACAUUGUCAGCAAUUUACUGGACGCACCGGCAAAUACGCUGGCGUCCACUUCAAGCAGGAUCAUUCGAAUUGUGGACAGUGUUGGCCUGAAGCUGGUGGUGCAGGGACAGAGUGAGACUAUUCUCUCAACAUCUGUUGCUCUGGCAGUGAAUAAAGUGGAUGGGGUUAAUUUUCAGCAGACCUCAUUCACUCUGAUUGACUCCUCCAAUGUGCAGGUAAUACUUCAGAAACCAGUGCUCAUGCUGUUAGGAGCAGUGCCUUUAGGAUCUCG